rnacentral:rRNA from 1 species
CGGACUUAGUGGCAGACGGCUGAGUAACACGUUGGAACCUGCCCCAUACUCGGGGAUAACUGCCCGAAAGGGUAGCUAAUACCGGAUAGUCCCUCACCUCGGUGAGGGUAAAGAUUUAUCGGUAUGGGAGGGGCCUGCGGCCUAUCAGUUUGUUGGUGGGGUAAAAGCCUACCAAGACGAUGACGGGUAGCUGGUGUGAGAGCAUGACCAGCCAGAAUGGGACUGAGACACGGCCCAUACUCC